AAUGAACGCUGGCGGCGUGCCUAACACAUGCAAGUCGAGCGAUCUUCUUCGGAAGAGAGCGGCGGACGGGUGAGUAACGCGUGGGUAACCUGCCCUAUACACACGGAUAACAUACCGAAAGGUAUGCUAAUACGAGAUAAUAUGCUUUUGUCGCAUGGCAGAAGUAUCAAAGCUCCGGCGGUAUAGGAUGGACCCGCGUCUGAUUAGCUAGUUGGUAAGGUAACGGCUUACCAAGGCGACGAUCAGUAGCCGACCUGAGAGGGUGAUCGGCCACAUUGGAACUGAGACACGGUCCAAACUCCUACGGGAGGCAGCAGUGGGGAAUAUUGCACAAUGGGCGAAAGCCUGAUGCAGCAACGCCGCGUGAGCGAUGAAGGCCUUCGGGUCGUAAAGCUCUGUCCUCAAGGAAGAUAAUGACGGUACUUGAGGAGGAAGCCCCGGCUAACUACGUGCCAGCCGCCGCCGUAA
rnacentral:rRNA from 1 species